GUGAACUGGAAACACCAAUGGACACACACAAAAGCGACCCCAACAAAAGCCUGCUCUGUCUAGCCGAAGGACCAGGAAGAGCUCUCAGGACCCUGAACAGCCUCUUAAAAGCGUCCCCACAUCUGAUCUGUUCCAUCCAGUUCCUCCUUCUCAUGCCAACCAGAUGGGUUUUUCUGAAGCCCCAAAACCAAGGAGGCUGCACGUCCCGUGGUCAGAAGAAUCUGGGGACUCACUGCCUCGCUGCCUGGAAUGGAGCAGGAGGAGGUAGACAGGCAGUCUACACAAGGAGAAAUACAAGAGGCACUGAGUAUAAGAAAGGAUGCCGGCCUCACUAGUCUCAAUUUUAGUAUAUGCACUGCCGAAGCUAGCACCAGCCUCACUAGUCUCUGCACCAAGACCUAUUACCUCUACCUGGCUAUAGGGAAGAGAGAAGGCAAAGAAAAGCACACACCCUUGCAUUUGACCCUUUUUAGGAUGUCUGCAAAGUAGUGAUGGAGAAAAAGAACUUUGGUGGGCUAAAAGGAGACAUUAUCCAAGGAUCUCCCCGCAAAAUUUGAUUCGUGACUUAAAGGGCCCCUUUGAUCCAACACAAGUUAUGCCUCCAAAUUUCUGGAACUUUGAUAGCAGCACAAACUCUUUUAUGUUUCCAUCUGUAUCACAAAUACAAUCACACUUUGUUUUCCUCUUGGGAUCAUACAUUUAG